UAGGGUACCUUUUGAUCCUCCUUAGUUUAAACAAAUGAACUAGUUUUCCAAAAAAAUUGUGUCUUUUUAAAAUUUUAGUUCAUUUGUUUGAACUAAGGAGGGUCAAAGGGUACCCUG
rfam:Brachypodium distachyon strain Bd21 chromosome 5, whole genome shotgun sequence.